UACGUAGGGUGCGAGCGUUGUCCGGAAUUAUUGGGCGUAAAGAGCUUGUAGGCGGUUUGUCGCGUCUGCUGUGAAAAUCCGGGGCUCAACCCCGGACUUGCAGUGGGUACGGGCAGACUAGAGUGUGGUAGGGGAGACUGGAAUUCCUGGUGUAGCGGUGAAAUGCGCAGAUAUCAGGAGGAACACCGUUGGCGAAGGCGGUUCUCUGGGCCUGUACUGACGCUGAGGAGCGAAAGCGUGGGGAGCGAACAGG
rnacentral:rRNA from 1 species